GACGAACGCUGGCGGCGUGCUUAACACAUGCAAGUCGAACGGAAAGGCCCUGCUUUUGUGGGGUGCUCGAGUGGCGAACGGGUGAGUAACACGUGAGUAACCUGCCCUUGACUUUGGGAUAACUUCAGGAAACUGGGGCUAAUACCGGAUAGGAGCUCCUGCUGCAUGGUGGGGGUUGGAAAGUUUCGGCGGUUGGGGAUGGACUCGCGGCUUAUCAGCUUGUUGGUGGGGUAGUGGCUUACCAAGGCUUUGACGGGUAGCCGGCCUGAGAGGGUGACCGGCCACAUUGGGACUGAGGUAGGGCCCAGACUGCUACGGGAGGCAGCAGUGGGGAAUAUUGCACAAUGGGCGGAAGCCUGAUGCAGCAACGCCGCGUGCGGGAUGACGGCCUUCGGGUUGUAAACCGCUUUCGACUGUGACGAAGCGUGAGUGACGGUAAUGGGUAAAGAAGCACCGGCUAACUACGUG
rnacentral:rRNA from 1 species